GCACCAUUCGCCUCGCCCCAAUAGGGCUGAUAAUUUUGCCAGAUUCUGGUUGACUGGCUGGCUAAAUGGCUGGUUACAUAAGUGUUUGUUUGGUUCUCUGUUUUGUUGACUGCCUGGCUGUUUUAGACUCCUUUGUGAUAAAUUGGGCUUUACGCUAAAUUGCACCGUUAGCAUUUACGUUGAGUGCCAUCCAUCAUCUCGACUGCCGAUCAGUUACUACUGUUACUACUACAGUAUGUUCCCAUGUUGUCCGGGCUAUUCCUGUCAGGAUACCCUGUGGCAGUACUGGUAGGACUACUGAUCUCCAUAUGUUUUCCAUGGGCCAGGUGGCUCUGGGCGCACAGCGGCAGGAAGUGUUAGCCAGGGAUUAGGCCUAGCGGGUGCUGGGUUAUCAGCUGGCUUCUUCACUCACAGCAUGGCUGACACUAAGCCCUGGAAAUAAGCAGGGGGUUUUAUUAGCAACGUGCCCCAGGAACGGGUGAUCUACCUGGGAGGAAAAGGGCGGGGGUCCCAGAGGCUCACUGUGUAUAGCAGGUGUCGUGGUCGGUGUUGCUAGGCAACCAUGUUCAGGAAAUGGCGGGGUGUGAGGGGGAGGAAAUGGGACGUUUGGAGUCAACACACAAACACCGAUAAAGCUACCUCUUCACACAUGUACACACACUUAAAGAUAUAUUAUGUUUCUAUGUGCUCUUUUUCACACACACUUACGAUACAAUGUCCCUCUCGUACACCCACAUGUGCAUGCACGCACACACACAUACACACCAGUGUAAGGCCCCAAUUCUCCCAUAAAGGCUCUAGAUUGAGAUAAUCACCCAUACCACAGGAAAUUAACCCGCAAAGCCACAGUCAAUUUGCUUGUUUAAAUAGCCCUAACCAUUACGAGGUGUGUCCAAGCACUGCCAACCCAAAACCAAACAUUGGAUUUGAGAAAGCUGCAGGUUAUACCAGCCAAUAUAUAAAAUAACGCCUUUAAACUGGUGCACAGAGAAACUUUAGCUCUUCUAUAAAUACCUGAACACAUAUAACAUUUAAAACAUGUCUCAUCCAUAAACCUAGAGUUUCUAGACUAGGGACCUUAUAGACACUGUAGGUUUGGGAUAGCGUGUUACAAGGGUGUAGCAAUGGUUUUACUGUGGAGAACUAAGUACUAAUGGUUCCAUGUGGAGAGAGGGAGUGAGUGACAGAGAGAGGGAGAAGUAUGUGUGUGAAAUGUAUAUGUGCUUGCGUGUUGGCCACAGCAGUGACACUCUAUGGCGCUGUGGUGUGUGUGUGUGUGUUUAAAGCUCAGCAAAAGUGAUGACGCAAUGACAUCACACCAUAACAGAAAUGUCCUAUCAACUUAUAUACUCCCAAAAUAGCCUACAACACGGGCCAUCAGAAAUGCACAGCGAUACAAAUCACAUGUGGCUCUGGGCACUGCAGUGCUAAUUUAAUGGGACUCAAAUGCAGGGCAUUAGAAGAAUGCUGAGAGCAUUCCUGAACCACACCUACUACCAAGAUAACACAUGUCUAGCCUGAAGUCAUAUGAUUAACCUAACAGAUGAAUAUAGUACUUCACCUCUAACACUGUAAUAGAAACAGGUCUGGUAUGGAGUACCAGUAAAUAAAUAGUAGGGGUAUGCCGUACUGGUAAAACAUGUGGACAUAUCACAAUAAUUAAAACAAAGAUUCUAUUUGUCAUUACCACAUGUCAGUCGCAUGAAAAAUGAGCAAAUAGACUUGAGAACUUGUGGAAUACGCUCCAAAAUGUGGUGUGACUGAGACUCAGGCGGACAGCAGUGUAUGCAUACAUUUUGAUGUUUUGUAAGUGAUGUCUCUUUGCAUUUAUCAAAUGGCAUAAAAAUGGGAACAGGAGUUGAGAAAUAUGAUUUAUUUAUUUCCGCAUCUUGAGAGAAUAAAAGUUGACAUUCAAGACUAAAUUAAAUACUAUCAGUUGUUUGAUCGUUUUCACAGCUUUUCAUUUCCUUUAAACUGAUGUCAUUUGGAAAUCUCCCUGGUCCCUAAAUGUCCUCAAAUUUGACCAAUCUCAACUAGAUUGUUGAUGAUUCAUUGAUCAUUCUGUCGAUUUAUGACAUUCUAGCGAGCAAGUGCUUAUUUGGAGUUCUAGACGAGCAUUACGUAUCUAAUUAUAGACAAGUUGGCUAACAAAAAGCCUUCCAAAUGUCAGAAAUUAUAAGCAGAAAAAUAUGUACAUGAGGCUUAAAAAGUCCCCCCCCCCCACCCCUGAAUAACACUAUUAGCUACAGUAUCGAAUACAUAACACUAUUAGAACUAACAGUUUUAUAACAACAUAGUUUAGUCCUUAAAGCGACAUUUCACCGCUGUUCUAUUUCACUAUAUAUGUCCUGUAAUACGUUAAUUUAUCCUAUGUGUCAUAAAGAAUAUUUGAAAAAUCCUCACUACACGCAAAUACGAGCGUUUCUGCAUCUCACGGGUAGAAACGGGCCAGCUACAUUUCGUGGUUGUAAGCAAACGACAAUAUCCAGAUUUCAUAGUGAUUUCAGGACGUAGGUGCCACUCUGUGGAGGUGUAUCCAGUUGACGUGAGAAAUAUACAAAUGCCUGUGUUUGUAACCAGCACUUUCGGCCAGAGUGUUUCAAAACGGAACUGAAGUCUCAACUGAUGAUUUUUUUUCCAUGUCGUCGACUGUUGAAACGUGAUGCUAUUCCAUCAAUUUCCUACUUCACUUCGAAGAGGAAGGGAUCCGAUCAGCCAACAUCAACGCUGCAGAAAAAAAAGUCAAGCCGAGAGUCCGAUUCCAACAACAUCUGCAGUGGCAUCAACAUGAAGCUCAGCACCAGGAACUAGUAGACUAAUCCUGCUGCUGAUAAUUAAUCCUGCCGACCAUGACACCAGCUUUAGUAGUACAGAGCCUUUAGACCCAUUGGAUGACAACUUUAAGCCUGGAAUAAGCUCAUGGCCAACAUCAUCUGACUUUGAACCAAGCCACGACAACCAAGGGAGACUUGCAGUACAUAGAAAUUAUCUGCAAGAGGUCGAAGCAGUGGGUGGUGAAGAACAUCACCACAGCGCCAAAGCCUGCUAAACCAGCUGCCAUUACCCAACACAAGAAGACGUUCAGCACACGAACAUUCAACCAACGAAUCAUCCAUAUACAGUUUGACUGAUGCUGUAGUAUAAUAUAGAAUGCCUAGUAUGCUUAACUGCAUUGUGGUAUAGUUAUUGCAAGCUUUGAACAUAUGUAUAUAAUGGUGUUUUAUACAUUUUUAUAUAUAUAUAUAUUUUAUACAAGUGUACUGACAAGUGACUAAAUGAUUCCAGCUGCAUCAGAAACCAAUAGUGCUGACUUUAAAUUAAUUGUGAUAUUCAUGAAAUGUACUUGAAUCUUACUGCUAAAACAAAUGAUGGAGGUUGUUGGUGUAUCAUUUAAACUUUAAACAUGUUAAAAUAAAACAGAUUUGUCUUCAAGACAAAGUUUACAUUUCUAUAUUUUUUUUGUCA